GACAGAGGGUGCAAACGUUGUUCGGAAUUACUGGGCGUAAAGCGCGUGUAGGCGGCUAUGUAAGUCGGGCGUGAAAUCCCACGGCUCAACCGUGGAAGUGCACCCGAAACUGCGUAGCUAGAGUCCUGGAGAGGAAGGUGGAAUGCUUGGUGUAGAGGUGAAAUUCGUAGAUAUCAAGCGGAACACCGGUGGCGAAGGCGGCCUGCUGGGCAGUAGCUGACACUGAGGCGCGACAGCGUGGGGAGCAAACAGG
rnacentral:rRNA from 1 species